GUAGGGUGCAAGCGUUGUCCGGAAUUAUUGGGCGUAAAGAGCUCGUAGGCGGUCUGUUGCGUCGGCUGUGAAAACCCGGGGCUCAACCCCGGGCCUGCAGCCGAUACGGGCAGACUAGAGUUCGGCAGGGGAGACUGGAAUUCCUGGUGUAGCGGUGAAAUGCGCAGAUAUCAGGAGGAACACCGGUGGCGAAGGCGGGUCUCUGGGCCGAAACUGACGCUGAGGAGCGAAAGCGUGGGGAGCGAACAGGAUUAGAUACCCUGGUAGUCCACGCCGUAAACGUUGGGCGCUAGGUGUGGGUUCCCUUCCACGGGAUCCGUGCCGCAGCUAACGCAUUAAGCGCCCCGCCUGGGGAGUACGGCCGCAAGGCUA
rnacentral:rRNA from 1 species